AUGCCGCGUGCGGGAAGAAGGCCUUCGGGUUGUAAACCGCUUUUGUCAGGGAAGAAAUCUUUUGAGCCAAUACCUCGAGAGGAUGACGGUACCUGAAGAAUAAGCACCGGCUAACUACGUGCCAGCAGCCGCGGUAAUACGUAGGGUGCAAGCGUUAAUCGGAAUUACUGGGCGUAAAGCGUGCGCAGGCGGUCGUGCAAGACAGGUGUGAAAUCCCCCGGGCUUAACCUGGGAACUGCACUUGUGACUGCACGGCUGGAGUACGGCAGAGGGGGAUGGAAUUCCGCGUGUAGCAGUGAAAUGCGUAGAUAUGCGGAGGAACACCGAUGGCGAAGGCAGUCCCCUGGGCCUGUACUGACGCUCAUGCACGAAAGCGUGGGGAGCAAACAGGAUUAGAUACCCUGGUAGUCCACGCCCUAAACGAUGUCAACUGGUUGUUGGGAAGGUUCCUUCUCAGUAACGUAGCUAACGCGUGAAGUUGACCGCCUGGGGAGUACGGCCGCAAGGUUG
rnacentral:rRNA from 1 species